UGUUACCUACGGGAGGCAGCAGUGGGGGAUAUUGGACAAUGGGGGAAACCCUGAUCCAGCGACGCCGCGUGAGUGAAGAAGUAUUUCGGUAUGUAAAGCUCUGUCAGCAGGGAAGAAAGAAAUGACGGUACCUGACCAAGAAGCCCCGGCUAACUACGUGCCAGCAGCCGCGGUAAUACGUAGGGGGCAAGCGUUAUCCGGAAUUACUGGGUGUAAAGGGAGCGUAGACGGUGAUGCAAGUCUGGAGUGAAAGGCGGGGGCCCAACCCCCGGACUGCUCUGGGAACUGGUUAACUUGAGUGCAGG
rnacentral:rRNA from 1 species